rnacentral:rRNA from 1 species
UUUGAUCCUGGCUCAGAUUGAACGCUGGCGGCAUGCCUUACACAUGCAAGUCGAACGGUAACGCGGGGCAACCUGGCGACGAGUGGCGAACGGGUGAGUAAUACAUCGGAACGUGCCCAGUAGUGGGGGAUAGCCCGGCGAAAGCCGGAUUAAUACCGCAUACGACCUACGGGUGAAAGCGGGGGAUCGCAAGACCUCGCGCUAUUGGAGCGGCCGAUGUCAGAUUAGCUAGUUGGUGGGGUAAAGGCCUACCAAGGCGACGAUCUGUAGCUGGUCUGAGAGGACGACCAGCCACACUGGGACUGAGACACGGCCCAGACUCCUACGGGAGGCAGCAGUGGGGAAUUUUGGACAAUGGGGGCAACCCUGAUCCAGCCAUGCCGCGUGCGGGAAGAAGGCCUUCGGGUUGUAAACCGCUUUUGUCGGGGAAGAAACGGUCCGCGCUAAUACCGUGGGCUAAUGACGGUACCCGAAGAAUAAGCACCGGCUAACUACGUGCCAGCAGCCGCGGUAAUACGUAGGGUGCAAGCGUUAAUCGGAAUUACUGGGCGUAAAGCGUGCGCAGGCGGCUUUGCAAGACAGAUGUGAAAUCCCCGGGCUCAACCUGGGAACUGCAUUUGUGACUGCAUGGCUAGAGUGCGGCAGA